rnacentral:rRNA from 1 species
UACGUAGGGGGCGAGCGUUGUCCGGAAUUACUGGGCGUAAAGAGCUCGUAGGUGGUUUGUCGCGUUGUCCGUGAAAACUCACAGCUCAACUGUGGGCGUGCGGGCGAUACGGGCAGACUGGAGUACUGCAGGGGAGACUGGAAUUCCUGGUGUAGCGGUGGAAUGCGCAGAUAUCAGGAGGAACACCAAUGGCGAAGGCAGCUCGCUGGAACGGUACUGACGCUGAGGCGCGAAAGCGUGGGGAGCAAACAGG